rnacentral:rRNA from 1 species
CCUACGGGCGGCAGCAGUGAGGAAUAUUGGUCAAUGGGCGCGAGCCUGAACCAGCCAAGUCGCGUGAGGGAUGACGGUUCUAUGGAUCGUAAACCUCUUUUAUAAAGGAAUAAAGUGUGGGACGUGUCCUAUUUUGUAUGUACCUUAUGAAUCAGGAUCGGCUAACUCCGUGCCAGCAGCCGCGGUAAUACGGAGGAUCCGAGCGUUAUCCGGCUUUAUUGGGUUUAAAGGGUGCGUAGGCGGCCUUUUAAGUCCGCGGUGAAAGUCUGUGGCUCAACCAUAGAAUUGCCGUUGAAACUGGUGGGCUUGAGUAUGUUUGAGGUAGGCGGAAUGCGUGGUGUAGCGGUGAAAUGCUGAGAUAUCACGCAGAACCCCGAGUGCGAAGGCAGCCUGCCAAGCCAUGACUGACGCUGAUGCACGAAAGCGUGGGGAUCAAACAGGAUUAGAUACCCGAGUAGUC